rnacentral:lncRNA from 1 species
CGGUUUCACAACUUUAUUAAAAAUAAAUUUAUAAGUAAACAAAUCGUAACUUUAUAGAUUAAAGUUGAUUGGGAUUAAGGAGAACCUGGGUAUAAGAGGAUCUGGUACAGAGAGGUCUCAGGAUCUUUUCCUGAGUGGGAGUACAUACGAGGUAGGGAAGAGAAAACAACAAACCAGAACAAAGUUGCUGCUCCCAGGUCCUCUUUCAUCCUCCACCUUCCCACACAGCAUUCUGACAGCCCCUGAGCUCUCCUCAACUGCACUACAAAAGGGCAGGCCACCCCCAGCACAGUCAAGUCCUGAGCUCCCUCUGCUUGUAGCCAGGCACCAUGUUAGUGAUUUCCACCUCAGGGCUUUCCUUUUAAAAUCCACACCCCACAUGCCUUUGCAGUCAGCUCUCUCACCUCUCCAUACUCAUUUCACUCUUCCCCAACUCCCCCAGCCCACCUUCUGCCAGCUCCUUCACUCACUGUAUUUUCCUCUUCUACUAUACAGAACAUUAUUCAUCAAGCAAGAGCCAUGCCAUGCAGAAACGCAUCUGGUAUGCUACUUAAAUCAUGCCGUUUCACCCGUUUUUCCCCAGAUUUGCUCCUCUCACCUUUAACUCAAAGCUAUCUUUCUCAGUGAAGAAUGUAGACAGCUAUUUUGAAUUCCAUCAUCUACUCCAUUCUUAUUUUCUCUAAUCUCACUUUACGGUUAUUGUUUAGCCUAUUUGGGGAGCAGAGAAAACUCAUGAAAAAGGGAAUGACAGCAGACUCAAAGAGGAAAGAAAGGGGAAAAGAAGGUGGGGGGGGGGUGCUACAUACUUCCAUUUGACAUUAUUUAAAUAAAAAAUGAUUUUCUCGGCAGGAUGCAGUGGCUCACGCCUGUAAUCCCAGCACUUUGGGAGGGAAAGGUGGGAAGACUGCUUGAGCCCAGGAGUUUGAGGCCAGCCUGGGUGACAAAGAGAAACCCCUGUCUCUACAAAAAAAAAAAAAAAAAAAAAAAAAUUAAAUUAUCUGGGCAUGGUGUUGCAUUUCUAUAGUCCCAGCUACUUGGGAGGCUGAGGUUGGGGGAAUCCCUUGAUCCCAGGAGGUCCAGGCUGCAGUGAGCUACAAUUGUACCACUGCACUCCAGGCUGGGUAACAGUGAGAACCUGUCUCAAAAACAAACAAAAAAUGAAACUCAAUGCUUAUUACGUCUAUAGGUGACUUAUGCACCCUCAAGCUUGGUACCAUGAUAAGAAGAGAUACUUUCUCUUUAGUUUCAGUAAUCUGAAAUUUCAUUUCUAAAGCAAUUUUCUUCCAUAUGCAAAUAACACCUCUAUCUGCCACAAAUAUUUAAGUGUUCAUUCUUUUUUUUUUUUUUUUUGAGACAGUCUAGCUAUGUCACCCAGGCUGGAGUGCAGUGGGAAGAUCUCAGCUCACUCCAAUGUCUGCCUUCCAGGUUCAAGCAAUUCUCAUGCCUCAGCCUCCUGAGUAGCUGGGAUUACAGGUGUGUGCCACCAUGCCUGGCUAUUUUCUUUGUAUUUUUAGUAGAGAUGAGUUUUGCCAUGUUGGCCAGGCUGGUUUUGAACUCCUGGCCUCAAACGAUUUGCCUGCCUCAGCCUCCCAAAGUGCUGGGAUUGUAGGUGUGAGCCAUGGGCCCAGCCUAAUUCAUUUUUUACUAUGGUAAAAUAUAUGUAAGAUUUACAAUUUUAACCAUUUUUUUCCAGGAUUGGGAAAACCCUUUAUUUCUCUAUAGAGUUACUG